UACGGGGGGAGCAAGCGUUGUUCGGAUUUACUGGGCGUAAAGGGCGCGUAGGCGGCCACCGCAAGUCAAUUGUGAAAUCUCCGGGCUUAACUCGGAAAGGUCAACUGAUACUGUGCGACUAGAGUGCGGAAGGGGCAACUGGAAUUCUCGGUGUAGCGGUGAAAUGCGUAGAUAUCGAGAGGAAAACCUGCGGCGAAGGCGGGUUGCUGGGCCGACACUGACGCUGAUGCGCGAAAGCCAGGGGAGCGAACGGG
rnacentral:rRNA from 1 species